UACGGAGGGUGCGAGCGUUAAUCGGAAUUACUGGGCGUAAAGGGCGCGUAGGCGGCCUAUCAAGUCAGGUGUGAAAGCCCACGGCUUAACCGUGUGAAGUGCAUCUGAAACUGGUAGGCUUGAGUAUCGGAGAGGAAAGUGGAAUUCCCGGUGUAGAGGUGAAAUUCGUAGAUAUCGGGAGGAAUACCGGUGGCGAAGGCGACUUUAUGGACGAAUACGGACGCUGAGGCGAGAAAGCGGGGGGAGCACACAGGCUGCGAUAACAGCGUAGUCC
rnacentral:rRNA from 1 species